rnacentral:rRNA from 1 species
CUGAAAGAUGAUCAGGUUGAUAGGUCUGAGGUGGAAGCGUGGUGACACGUGGAGCUGACAGAUACUAAUAGAUCGAGGACUUAACCUAU